ACGUCUGAGAUUGAGUUAUUUGACAACAGCGACAUUUUCAUUGCAAAUAAAUUAGUCACACUGGCUUGGCAGUGAGAAAAUAAUAUGACAACGCUGAAGUGAGAGCAGAACAUGGACGUGGUUGUGCGCCAUAACCACAGAGGACACCAGGAGUUUGCUGUCCAGGCCGAGCACUUGAAACUGCCGUACCUAGGACUUAGACUGAAAGCUCAGGGCAUUCACAAUAAGUACCUCUUCAAAGACAACAUCCCAGAAUACCCAAGGCCAGAGUUCUGGGUUUCCCAGCUCAGACACGACACGAAUGAAGGUGGGCUAUUUGGCAUAGCCGUCGAAAGCGAAGGGGGGUUCUGUGCUAGGGACGGAGAAGAGGGGCCAGAGGACCCAGAAGAGGGGCCAGAGGGUUUGGACCUGCUGUGGUGGAGCUUGUCUUUGGGAGCAGAGGAGAUGGCCUUGGCUGAACAACGUCUGCUCCAGACCAGGUACCCUGACAGGACAGAGGAGCAGGCCAGGGAGCAGAAAUCCUUCCUGCAGAGGUUCGCCACCUCACCUGCCUUCCUGAACACCUCUCGGCUGGGCUCCUACCGAUUCACCUUCCCCCUGGAGGAGCUGCUUAAGAGAUACCGGGAACAGCUAUGCGUUGGACACGAGCCAAUCCUGCGUGUGUAUGAGACAGUCCUGUACAAACAGGUGGUGAUGUACUCAGUGCUAGUCCACAGUCACUUCAACAACGACCUCUUUGAGAAGAGGACAAUGACGAUGGAGUCUGCGCUUACAGAGAUGGACAAAUCAUUUGGAGACCCGAGGCCAUGUGUGAGACACACAGCUUCAAACUGGUGCCAAAGCCCUACCAGAACCAGGAUGUAGCCCACCUGAUCCCUGAUCCACAGAAACACCAGUUCUACGUUUGGGACAACAUUGCUGUAGCGUUCCACAUGGACGGUUCACAGAUGUUGAACUUCGAUAUGUACAAUUUGAGAGGCCAUCUGAGAUUCUGUGAGCCAGGAACGCCACCAAUUUCCCCCACCUGUGAGUUGACCACAUACGAGGAGGCCAAAGACAUGGUAGACUGCUAUUGGCCUUACUACCAUACCCCCCUGUUCUGAUAAACUUAAUACCACACCCCCCUGUUCUGAUAAACUUAAUACCACACCCCCUGUUCUGAUAAACUUAAUACCACACCCCCUGUUCUGAUAAACUUACUACUACACCCCCCUGUUCUGAUAAACUUACUACUACACCCCCCUGUUCUUAUUUCUCCUAUUUCUUGAUUUGUUGUUUGGAUUGUUUUCAUGAUUGUGUAUUUGGAUUGUAUUUGCGAGACAUUCUACUGCACUGUUGGAGCUAGUAACACAAUCUUUUCCAUGCACCUGCCAUAACACCUGCAAAUCUGUGUACGUGACCAAUAAACUUUGAUUUGAUGAUGAUUUUGAAGUCAGGUAAAGUUAAAAUUGUUAUUCUUUCAACAUGCUUCACUGGUUUAAAACUUGAUAGGGACUUGGUCCCUGUGGCG
ensembl:lncRNA